rnacentral:rRNA from 1 species
UACGUAGGGGGCAAGCGUUGUCCGGAUUUAUUGGGCGUAAAAGGCUUGUAGGUGGCCACGCCAAGUCGGCUGUGAAAUCUCCCGGCUCAACUGGGAGGGGUCAUUCGAUACUGGCGGGCUCGAGGCCGGUAGGGGGAAGUGGAAUUCCCGGUGUAGUGGUGGAAUGCGUAGAUAUCGGGAGGAGCACCGGUGGCGAAGGCGGUUCUCUGGGCCUGACCUGACGCUGAGGAGCGAAAGCGUGGGGAGCGAACAGG